rnacentral:rRNA from 1 species
AGUGAACGCUGGCGGUAGGCCUAACACAUGCAAGUCGAACGACAGCACAGUAAGAGCUUGCUCUUACGGGUGGCGAGUGGCGGACGGGUGAGGAAUACAUCGGAAUCUACUUUUUCGUGGGGGAUAACGUAGGGAAACUUACGCUAAUACCGCAUACGACCUACGGGUGAAAGCAGGGGAUCUUCGGACCUUGCGCGAUUGAAUGAGCCGAUGUCGGAUUAGCUAGUUGGCGGGGUAAAGGCCCACCAAGGCGACGAUCCGUAGCUGGUCUGAGAGGAUGAUCAGCCCCACUGGAACUGAGACACGGUCCAGACUCCUACGGGAGGCAGCAGUGGGGAAUAUUGGACAAUGGGCGCAAGCCUGAUCCAGCCAUACCGCGUGGGUGAAGAAGGCCGUCGGGUUGUAAAGCCCUUUUGUUGGGAAAGAAAAGCAGCAGGUUAAUACCCCGCUGUUCUGACGGUACCCAAAGAAUAAGCACCGGCUAACUUCGUG